rnacentral:rRNA from 1 species
CAGUCGACAGGAGGAUUGACAGAUUGAGAGCUCUUUCUUGAUUUUGUGGGUGGUGGUCUCAUGGCCGUUCUUAAUUGGUGGAGUGAUUUGUCUGCUUAAUUGCGAUAACGAACGAGACCUUAACCUGCUAAAUAGCCAGGCCCGCCUUGGCGGGUCGCCGGCUUCUUAGAGGGACUAUCGGCUCAAGCCGAUGGAAGUUUGAGGCAAUAACAGGUCUGUGAUGCCCUUAGAUGUUCUGGGCCGCACGCGCGCUACACUGACAGAGCCAACGAGUUCAUCACCUUGGCCGGAAGGUCUGGGUAAUCUUGUUAAACUCUGUCGUGCUGGGGAUAGGGCAUUGCAAUUAUUGCCCUUCAACGAGGAAUGCCUAGUAAGCGCAUGUCAUCAGCAUGCGUUGAUUACGUCCCUGCCCUUUGUACACACCGCCCGUCGCUACUACCGAUUGAAUGGCUCAGUGAGGCUUUCGGACUGCCCCAGGGAGGUCGGCAACGACCACCCAGGGGCGGAAAGUUAGUCAAACUCGGUCAUUUAGAGGAAGUAAAAGUCGUAACAAGGUCUCCGUAGGUGAACCUGCGGAGGGAUCAUUACCGAGUGAGGGCCUCCGGGCUCGACCUCCA